UACGUAGGGACCGAGCGUUGUCCGGAUUCAUUGGGCGUAAAAGAGCUCGUAGGCGGCUGUUCAAGUCGAACGUGAAAAACUCGGAGCUCAACUCCGAGCCUGCGUUCGAUACUGGAUGGCUAGAGUCUGGUAGGGGGGAUCUGGAAUUCCUGGUGUAGCGGUGGAAUGCGCAGAUAUCAGGAGGAACACCGGUGGCGAAGGCGGGAUCCUGGGCCAGUACUGACGCUGAGGAGCGAAAAGCGUGGGGGAGCAAACAGGG
rnacentral:rRNA from 1 species